UACGUAGGUGGCAAGCGUUGUCCGGAAUUACUGGGUGUAAAGCGCGUGUAGGCGGCAGGCCAAGUCUGCGGUGAAAGCGCCCGGCUCAACUGGGCGAGGUCCGUGGAAACUGGUCAGCUGGAGGACGGUAGAGGCGAGUGGAAUUCCCGGUGUAGUGGUGAAAUGCGUAGAGAUCGGGAGGAACGCCCGUGGCGAAAGCGAGGCCCUGGACCCUUACUGACGCUGAGACGCGAAAGCCAGGGGAGCGAACGGG
rnacentral:rRNA from 1 species